rnacentral:rRNA from 1 species
GACGAACGCUGGCGGCGUGCUUAACACAUGCAAGUCGAACGGAAAGGCCCUGCUUUUGUGGGGUGCUCGAGUGGCGAACGGGUGAGUAACACGUGAGUAACCUGCCCUUGACUUUGGGAUAACUUCAGGAAACUGGGGCUAAUACCGGAUAGGAGCUCCUGCUGCAUGGUGGGGGUUGGAAAGUUUCGGCGGUUGGGGAUGGACUCGCGGCUUAUCAGCUUGUUGGUGGGGUAGUGGCUUACCAAGGCUUUGACGGGUAGCCGGCCUGCGAGGGUGACCGGCCACAUUGGGACUGAGAUACGGCCCAGACUCCUACGGGAGGCAGCAGUGGGGAAUAUUGCACAAUGGGCGGAAGCCUGCUGCAGCAACGCCGCGUGCGGGAUGACGGCCUUCGGGUUGUAAACCGCUUUCGCCUGUGACGAAGCGUGAGUGACGGUAAUGGGUAAAGAAGCACCGGCUAACUACGUG